GAGUUUGAUCCUGGCUCAGGAUGAACGCUAGCGGCAGGCCUAACACAUGCAAGUCGAGGGGUAACGAUGAGUGCUUGCACUCAGGCGACGACCGGCGCACGGGUGAGUAACGCGUAUGCAACCUGCCUUCUACUAGAGAAUAGCCCCCGGAAACGGGGAUUAAUACUCCAUAGUAUUGUUUUCACAAAAGUUUAAACAAUUAAAGCUUCGGCGGUAGAAGAUGGGCAUGCGUCCUAUUAGUUAGUUGGUAAGGUAACGGCUUACCAAGACAUCGAUAGGUAGGGGGCCUGAGAGGGUGGUCCCCCACACUGGUACUGAGACACGGACCAGACUCCUACGGGAGGCAGCAGUGAGGAAUAUUGGUCAAUGGAGGCAACUCUGAACCAGCCAUGCCGCGUGCAGGAAGAAUGCCCUAUGGGUUGUAAACUGCUUUUAUUUAGGAAGAAUCCCCGCUACGUGUAGUGGGUUGACGGUACUAAACGAAUAAGGACCGGCUAACUCCGUGCCAGCAGCCGCGGUAAUACGGAGGGUCCAAGCGUUAUCCGGAAUCAUUGGGUUUAAAGGGUCCGCAGGCGGACUAGUAAGUCAGUGGUGAAAUCUCUCAGCUCAACUGGGAAACUGCCAUUGAUACUGUUAGUCUUGAAUUCGGUCGAAGUGGGCGGAAUGUGUCAUGUAGCGGUGAAAUGCAUAGAUAUGACACAGAACACCGAUAGCGAAGGCAGCUCACUAGGCCUGAAUUGACGCUCAGGGACGAAAGCGUGGGGAGCGAACAGGAUUAGAUACCCUGGUAGUCCACGCCGUAAACGAUGAUUACUCGAUAUCAGCGAUAUACAGUUGGUGUCUAAGCGAAAGUGAUAAGUAAUCCACCUGGGGAGUACGAUCGCAAGGUUGAAACUCAAAGGAAUUGACGGGGGCCCGCACAAGCGGAGGAGCAUGUGGUUUAAUUCGAUGAUACGCGAGGAACCUUACCAAGGCUUAAAUG
rnacentral:rRNA from 1 species